rnacentral:rRNA from 1 species
UUUCCCUCAGGAUAGCUGGCACUCGCUUGAGCGAGUCUCAUCUGGUAAAGCGAAUGAUUAGAGGCCUUGGGGCCGAAACGACCUCAACCUAUUCUCAAACUUUAAAUGGGUGAGAUCUCUGGCUUGCUUGAACGUUGAAGCCAUGAUAUUAUAAAUUGGAUCAGAGUGCCAAGUGGGCCAAUUUUGGUAAGCAGAACUGGCGCUGUGGGA